rnacentral:lncRNA from 1 species
GGCCCGAGAGAAUCGCAGAGCUCUCAGCUGUCCGGCCACCUCGAAAACCGGCGCCCGAACCCACAUUCCGAUACAACGUGGCUCCUCUUUCUCUUCACGCGUGUGUGUUCUAUGUGUAUAUAUGUGUGUUUAUGUGUAUACGUGUUCUUUAGUGUUGGGUUAGUGUUGUAUACGUGAUACUUAUGGGGGGAGGGGGAGGGGGAAAGUGACUCGCAUGGUUUAAAACACGAAGUGAGAGACCACCAUAUUUGCGCUAUUCUCGUCAGGCGCCGUUCUAAAUGCCAGUAGCUUUAGUAACGUUCUUCUUCUUCUUCUUCGUUCGUUCAUUCGUUCAUUCGAGAAGAGAAGAAAAUUAGAAUAAUAAAGGUGAGGACAAAUUUUACGAAUACGAAUUUGUUCCUUUUAUCGAACGAGCAAAAAGAACAAUAACCAAAAUAAAAAUAC